rnacentral:antisense_RNA from 1 species
ACGCCCCGCGCCCCGCGCCCCGGGCCGUGCAGCCAGCCCUUACCUUGCAGCGCCCGGCUGUCUCCCGAUCGCUAAAGCUACUUAUCCCGGGAAAGCUCGCGCGGGACCCGGGAACGAACCCACAGACAAAAAGUGAAACUUCGGCAGGGCUGGAGCGGCUGCUGGUUGGUGCCUUUCCCCCUCCUUCCUCCCCACCGUCCCCACCCCCUCCCCUUGGUCUCCCGUGCGGUGCCCUGAGCGCUGGAGGCUGACGUCAGGGGCCUGAAUUCCUGACUUUGCCUGCACGCAUUUGUCCAUGUAAGGUAUGGGAAGGCGUGUGCCCGCGAAGCCGCCGCGCAGAGCUCGCCUGGCGGGGGAGGGGAAACCCGCAGCCGGCAGUGGCUUUGCCAAAAGGUGGGCGCACUGAGGGCAUUGCAUUUCCUGGGAGGAAGAGGAGGAGACGCGGGAAUGCAGGGAGCUUGCAAAGGAGGAAGGGAAAGAGGGAGAUGUGGAGACUUUGCCCCAGCUAGAGGAAGAGGAAGGAGACGUAGGAGGAAGCGGCCGCGUCAGGGGGCUCCUGGAAAAUGGAAAAGCCUGCGUCUACUAUUAAGGCGUCAAAUUAGGGCACUGAGCUUGAGUGGAAGAGAUCCAGCCAUGAAAUCCCCUUCCAAGAUUUUCCUCGUGAGCCCCGCCCUGGAUUCCCAGCAAGACUCAAAACUUACAAGGUGUCAGAGCUGGCAAAGACCAACUUCCAACCCGUCCGCUUGGCACGUGAGGAAACUGAAGCUCUCGGAAGAGAAAUGACUUGUACAGGGUCGUCACUCAGCAGAUCGAGGAGCGGGCCCAGGCGCUCUGCCUCCCACUUGGGUUCCCGCCUCCAGGAAGGGCCCUGGCUCCCUUUUAGCCCUGAGCCUUGAAGCAGGUUAGAUGCCCGCGAGCUGUGCGGACCACCCAGUGAUUUCUACUGCUCUUGGCCCAGAGCCAGUUCCUGGAAGGUCCUGGUUGACAGCGAGCCCUGAAUAUCAAUGACAAUCAGUUGCUUCAGGGCAACUUCCUCUGUCCUGUGCUCAAAUAAAUGAAUCCCUGGAGUUUAACGUUUACUUCUGAGCCCCGCCCAGAAAGCUUGCUCUGUGCUUAUAGCUUCAAAAAAGUCUGCGAACGAGAUGAACUGGUUUGAAUACAGACAAGCCUGUCAUUGGAAGUUUUGAGUUGGAUUUUUCUUUCCCCUCUGACAUCUGUAAGGGUGAACGACGAUGAGAACCACCACUUACUGUGUUAGGGGAUUAUGACGUGCAGCAGCCAUGGCCAGGAAAGCACUCCAUACCCUGAGACUUCCUUUCCUUGCACUUCUCUCCUAUUAAUAUCUAAAGUAAUCCCUCACGUUAGCACAUAAUGAAAGCAGUCUCUCACCCGGCUAUUGCAUCUUCAGGUGAGUUAGAUAGGACAGAGCGUAGUCCCCCCUUUACACUUCAGACAAAAACUUAAGAAACGUUACUCGCCCAACACAAAACAACUGACUGACCAAGCACCUGUCUUCCCCUCCUCCCAUCCAGGUCUCCUGACUAAUCCCUUCAUCUUUCCAUACCUGGCCCUGACCUCUAGCAGGACCUAAUUCCAUUCAUAACUGUUGAGAGUACACCAUGAGCUACUGAUUCAUAAAAACUCCAAAAAGUGGUUCUUCUGAGGAUGGACUUUAGUGGGAUUCUUUUGACCAGGAAUUAAGGAAAUAAUGUAAAAACACAUGUUAUUGGAUUUAUUAAGCACCUUCCUUGUGCUUAAUAAGUGUUUGAAUUCAGACAUUUCAGGGGUAAGACUACUUAACCUCUGUGUUCCUCUCAACUAUCUAAUGUACACAUACAAAAAUAUGAACAUGGCUGGGCGCGGUGGCUUACACCUGUAAUUCCAGCACUUUGGGACGCCGAGGCGGGCAAAUCACCUGAGGUCAGGAGCUCGAGCCAGCCUGGCCAACAUGGCAAAACCCCGUCUCUACCAAAAAUACAAAAAACUAGCCGGGCGUGGUGGCGAGCGCCUGUAAUCCCAGGUAUUCCGGAAGCUGAGGCAGGAGAAUUGCUUGAACCCGGGAGGCAAAGGUUUUAGUGAGCCGAGAUUGCGCCACUGCACUCCAGCCUGGGGGACAGAGCAAGACUGUUGUCAAAAAAAAAAAAAAAUAUAUAUAUAUAUAUAUAUAUAAAUAUAUACACACACACAUAUAUAUACACAUAUAUAUAUAUGAAGGCAGUAACAGAGAGAUAAGGUCGAGAAUAACCACCCAUUCCACAGACUAAUAAAGAAUUUAUCUCUUUGCAACUAACAUAGUUUGAAAUGGGAGAUACGGGCUCUUGGAGAGAUUUUUUUCUGGGGUUCUGAAAAGCUCAGAUCCUAUCAAAACACAAUCCACUCACUCAAACAUUUCAGCAUACUCACAUUCUGAGUACUACUGUUUAGUAUGAAAAGAAUUCCAAUGUUACAUGAAGUAAAAAUGGAUUAUCUCAAUCCUCAUGGAAUAUAACGGGACUUGACCAGCAUUUCCUUUUUUUUUUUCCUUCAGUAACUCACUUAUAAGGAAUAAUAGGGUCCUAAUGAGGAUUAAGAUUUAAUAAGGUGUAAUUAGAGUUGUUCAUUUCUUCCAUCAUAUACAUUAUAAGAGUACUGUGCUGGAUCCAGAAAUGCUACUAAUUAUGUCGAAACUGUUGUAUGGGUGUGUUGGGGAAGUCACUGUGUUUCUCCUCCUGAAAUGUUUAUGAAUUGCUCAGGUGAGCAUGGUGAGCAUGGUGUUAGCAUGAACAUCAUAUAAAGUUAACUACAAAAGA